ACUACAAGGGUAUUAGCAAUCAUUUGGACCACAACAACUGGAAGGGUUCAGUGACUUGCCUGAGAUCAAAUACCCAGCAAGUUGUCUGGAACCCACUAUGCAACACUGGAGCCAUACUCUCCAAGCAUUUCACUGCAGUACCUCCAUUCCAGAUGUUCUGAAUAUUGGAGACAGACGUUUAUUUUAUUUCCUUGGUUCCCAUUUCACAUGAAGCUUUUGCACAAAGAAGGGAGCAGCGAUGGAGCAGAAAGAUAUGUGGAUGAAACUGAGCCUGUAAAAAGUAUAGAUAUUUGCCUUCUUUCUAUAUUUCUUUCUG